UGAGGUUUCCACACUAUAAAGUGAUACAAUUUUAUUGUAUUUGUUACCUAUAAAGAGGGAAAAACAUGGAUGCAAUUCUAAAGUUUAUUUAUGCAAUGUUUCUAUUUCUUUUCCUAUUUGUUACUACAAGGAAUGUUGAAGCACUUUUUGAGUGUAAUAGAGAUUUUGUUUGUGGAAACGAUGAUGAGUGUGUGUAUCCUUAUGCUGUUCAAUGUAUCCACCGCUAUUGUAAAUGUUUAAAAUCACGCAACUGAAUGUAUGAGUCAAGGAUCAAAGAUACUACACAAACGCUUUGAAUGGAAGAAUGAGUUAUUUAACUAGCAAAUGAUACAUGUAAUAUGGCAUCUGCUACUACUGGUAUAUUCGGUGUUUUAAUGUUUAAUCAUUGUGGUCUCACCUAAUAAUUGAUUUUAUUAUUUAUUUUUCUUUUUCUAAUUUCAUAAACAUUGCAGUUAUAACUUUUGGUAUUAAUGAGAGGACAUAUAAGAGAACAAAUAAUUUUAUUUCAU